UUCCUACGGGGGGCUGCAGUGGGGAAUCUUGCGCAAUGGGCGAAAGCCUGACGCAGCCAUGCCGCGUGAAUGAUGAAGGUCUUAGGAUUGUAAAAUUCUUUCACCGGGGAAGAUAAUGACGGUACCCGGAGAAGAAGCUCCGGCUAACUUCGUGCCAGCAGCCGCGGUAAUACGAAGGGGGCUAGCGUUGCUCGGAAUUACUGGGCGUAAAGGGCGCGUAGGCGGAUAUUUAAGUCGGGGGUGAAAUCCCAGGGCUCAACCCUGGAACAGCCUUCGAUACUGGAUAUCUUGAGUACGGGAGAGGUGUGUGGAACUCCGAGUGUAGAGGUGAAAUUCGUAGAUAUUCGGAAGAACACCAGUGGCGAAGGCGACACACUGGCCCGUUACUGACGCUGAGGCGCGAAAGCGUGGGGAGCAAACAGGAUUAGAUACCCCGGUAGUC
rnacentral:rRNA from 1 species